GCGCCCAUAGCUCAGUGGAUAGAGCAACGGUCUUCUAAACCGUUGGCCGCAGGUUCGAGUCCUGCUGGGCGCG
rnacentral:tRNA from 1 species